rnacentral:lncRNA from 1 species
GGCCCUUGGUGCACAGGGCCUAUCUGCGUGGGCCUGCUACGCAGACGGCGCGCGAACAGUGUGCGGCGCCUAUCCAUGCACGAGGUGAGGCAUGGAUGGCCUGCCUGCGCGCAACAGGACGCACGCAGGUCCUGACUCUACGUAGUACGCACGUCCCAUGCGUGCAUGCGGAGGGAUGGGUGAGCUAUGCGCACGUCUCGCAGCCCAUGUGCGAGCAUACCCACGUGCACAGUGCUCGGCACCCGCGCGGGCAACCAGACUACUCGCGGGAUUUUCUUUCC